UUUGUGAACGACGAACAAAUUUCAUUUCAGAAAGGUGACGCUAGGGUAACACACGGAUGAGGUUUACACUUCGGUGUUUAACUGGUUUAAUACAACAGUGCUCGGAUGCACCUAGGUCCGUCUACCAGACACAUUUUUGAACUACACAUGGAGGACAUUGUCAUCCACCUGCGCCUUCGCUUCUCUGCAUUGCUAUCCUCUACUUUUCUGGAAACGUCGCAGGAAGCUAUGAAACUGCUGUUUGAGGGAGGGACGCAUCUGGAGGACAGAAAAUCUCAUGACCUACAACAAAUUCAACAACUGGGUCACAAAGCUACACAGACUCACAACAGAUAUAUACUUCGGCCAGAAGUCGGGUGCACUGUGACCAAGCUCACUAUGUGACCGCACAAACACACAAUCUCCAAAGGUCCAGCUGCUGGUUACUCUCAAGGGAGCUGGCUCUGGCUGAAUCCACCAGCACUCCGGCUCAACUUACGAGGCAGCUGCAGUGCGCUCAUAAUGUCACCUUCAAUAGCAUAGCACUUGUCCAUGAAGGCAGUGGUGGUACAUCGUAAACCGCCAUAAACGUACACAUAGUCGCAGUUGAGUUGAUACUUGGUCCUCGGGCCACACGAGCAGCACCAGUACAAAGGACCGCAUGGUUGUUUCAUAGUGAUGCACUCAGCAUCGACAACAGCCAGCUGAGACAGUGAUAAGAGCGUCACUAGAAGCAGAAGAGCAGCCCACAUAGAGGCGCGCCGGGAAGACACGAUGCGCCGUGACUCUGGGAUGUCUUAUAUGUA
rnacentral:lncRNA from 1 species